rnacentral:rRNA from 1 species
AGCGGCGGACGGGUUAGUAACGCGUGGGAACAUACCCUUUUCUACGGAAUAGCCUCGGGAAACUGAGAGUAAUACCGUAUACGCCCUUUUGGGGAAAGAUUUAUCGGUGAAGGAUUGGCCCGCGUUUGAUUAGAUAGUUGGUGGGGUAAUGGCCUACCAAGUCUACGAUCAAUAGCUGGUUUGAGAGGAUGAUCAGCAACACUGGGACUGAGACACGGCCCAGACUCCUACGGGAGGCAGCAGUGGGGAAUCUUAGACAAUGGGCGCAAGCCUGAUCUAGCCAUGCCGCGUGAGUGACGAAGGCCUUAGGGUCGUAAAGCUCUUUCGCCAGAGAUGAUAAUGACAGUAUCUAGUAAAGAAACCCCGGCUAACUCCGUGCCAGCAGCCGCGGUAAUACGGAGGGGGUUAGCGUUGUUCGGAAUUACUGGGCGUAAAGCGUACGUAGGCGGAUUAGAAAGUAGGGGGUGAAAUCCCAGGGCUCAACCCUGGAACUGCCUCCUAAACUACUAGUCUAGAGUUCGAGAGAGGUGAGUGGAAUUCCAAGUGUAGAGGUGAAAUUCGUAGAUAUUUGGAGGAACACCAGUGGCGAAGGCGGCUCACUGGCUCGAUACUGACGCUGAGGUACGAAAGUGUGGGGAGCAAACAGGAUUAGAUACCCUGGUAGUCCACACCGA